GACCUCGUAGCUUAAGCGCUUAGAGCGUUGGCUGUACUAAAGCCUUCACCUUGCUGUUGUGGGUUCGAAUCCCACCAAGGUCG
rnacentral:tRNA from 1 species